rnacentral:ncRNA from 1 species
CCGCCCCAUUUUUUGACCCCCUAUAUAAUUCCGGGAAUAUGGCCCGGAAGUCUCUACCGGGUGGCCGUAAACCACCGAAGGCUAUAGGGGAAAAGUUCCUUUCC